rnacentral:siRNA from 1 species
GAAGAUUAGGCUUCAUCGGA